GCGGCGGACGGGUGAGUAACACGUGGAUAACCUACCUAUAAGACUGGGAUAACUUCGGGAAACCGGAGCUAAUACCGGAUAAUAUUUUGAACCGCAUGGUUCAAAAGUGAAAGACGGUCUUGCUGUCACUUAUAGAUGGAUCCGCGCUGCAUUAGCUAGUUGGUAAGGUAACGGCUUACCAAGGCAACGAUGCAUAGCCGACCUGAGAGGGUGAUCGGCCACACUGGAACUGAGACACGGUCCAGACUCCUACGGGAGGCAGCAGUAGGGAAUCUUCCGCAAUGGGCGAAAGCCUGACGGAGCAACGCCGCGUGAGUGAUGAAGGUCUUCGGAUCGUAAAACUCUGUUAUUAGGGAAGAACAUAUGUGUAAGUAACUGUGCACAUCUUGACGGUACCUAAUCAGAAAGCCACGGCUAACUACGUGCCAGCAGCCGCGGUAAUACGUAGGUGGCAAGCGUUAUCCGGAAUUAUUGGGCGUAAAGCGCGCGUAGGCGGUUUUUUAAGUCUGAUGUGAAAGCCCACGGCUCAACCGUGGAGGGUCAUUGGAAACUGGAAAACUUGAGUGCAGAAGAGGAAAGUGGAAUUCCAUGUGUAGCGGUGAAAUGCGCAGAGAUAUGGAGGAACACCAGUGGCGAAGGCGACUUUCUGGUCUGUAACUGACGCUGAUGUGCGAAAGCGUGGGGAUCAAACAGGAUUAGAUA
rnacentral:rRNA from 1 species